GGAGAGGUCGCAUAGUGGUCUAGUGCACUUGUCUUGAAAACAAGCGUCAUCGCAAGGUGGCCGCGAGUUCGAAUCUCGCCCUCUCCGCCA
rnacentral:tRNA from 1 species